GUCUACGGCCAUACCACCCUGAACGUGCUCGAUCUCGUCUGAUCUCAGAAGCUAAGCAGGGUCAGGCCUGGUUAGUAUUUGGAUGGGAGACCACCUGGGAAUACCGGGUGCUGUAGGCU
rnacentral:rRNA from 1 species